UGUGUGUGUGUCUCUCUGUGUGUGUGUGUAUAUAUAUAUAUAUAUAUAUAUAUAUACACACACAGACACACACACACA